AGAAUGAACGCUGGCGGCGUGGAUUAGGCAUGCAAGUCGAUCGGGGAGCAAUCCCCGAGGCGCAAGGGUGAGUAAGGCGACGACAACCAACCCCACAAUUGGGUAUAGCCGCGGGAAACUGCGGGUAAUCCCCAGCGACGUCCCGGGGGGGCAUCCCCAUGGGACCAUAGGUGCGAUUCCGGCGUGGGACGGGCCGUCGUGGUAUCAGCUUGUUGGCGGGGUAACGGCCCACCAAGGCUGCGACGCCUACCGGGCGUGCGAGCGUGGCCCGGCACACUGGGACUGAGACACUGCCCAGACACCUACGGGUGGCUGCAGUCGAGAAUCUUCGGCAAUGGGCGCAAGCCUGACCGAGCGACGCCGCGUGGAGGACGAAGGCCUUCGGGUUGUAAACUCCUGUCGAGGGGAGGAAGGGCGGUGCAGAAUCGUCCUUGACCUAUCCCUGGAGGAAGCACGGGCUAAGUUCGUGCAGCAGCCGC
rnacentral:rRNA from 1 species